rnacentral:pre_miRNA from 1 species
GGGGGGAGGCCGUAUCAUGGGCUGUGUCCCGGCGCCCAGUUCUCCCGGUCUGCGCUGUUGGAUUCGCGCUCCCAGCCGGGCAGCCCCCU